rnacentral:rRNA from 1 species
AUUGAACGCUGGCGGCAUGCCUUACACAUGCAAGUCGAACGGCAGCACGGGAGCAAUCCUGGUGGCGAGUGGCGAACGGGUGAGUAAAGUAUCGGAACGUGCCCAGUCGUGGGGGAUAACGUAGCGAAAGUUACGCUAAUACCGCAUACGAUCUAUGGAUGAAAGCGGGGGAUCGCAAGACCUCGCGCGAUUGGAGCGGCCGAUAUCAGAUUAGGUAGUUGGUGGGGUAAAGGCUCACCAAGCCGACGAUCUGUAGCUGGUUUGAGAGGACGACCAGCCACACUGGGACUGAGACACGGCCCAGACUCCUAAGGGAGGCAGCAGUGGGGAAUUGUGGACAAUGGGCGAAAGCCUGAUCCAGCCAUGCCGCGUGCAGGAUGAAGGCCUUCGGGUUGUAAACUGCUUUUGUACGGAACGAAAAGGUUUGGCCUAAUAAGCUGAGCUCAUGACGGUACCGUAAGAAUAAGCACCGGCUAACUACGCGCCAGCAGCCGCGGUAA